rnacentral:lncRNA from 1 species
UAAAAACUAUUUAAUUAAUGUAAAGAGAAAAUUAACCUCAUAAAUUAUAAAUUGAUAAACUCAUAUUCUACUUUAUACAAGAAAAAAGAUAAUAUGGUUAAAAUUGUCAAAUUUGUUUAUGUUUUAAUUAUCUUUGUUUUUCUAUUUUUCAUCGCAAUAAACGUUGACGGUAAGCUAUUUUUUUAAUCAUUUCUAAAUUUUAUAAUUGACUUCUUACAUGAUUUUUUUCAUAGUAACAAUAUUUUAUUCUCUUUUUUAUUAUAUAGGUAUUAGAUGUAUUCAAGAUUGUGAUUGUCCACAUAAUUUUUGCCCUCCUCCUUAUACACCCAAGUGUAUUAUCGGCCGAUGUAAUUGUGUUCAAAAAAUAUAACACAUUGAUGUAAUUAAAUUUCAUUUAAUAAUUAUUCUUAUUUCAAGAAAUGAUUUUUGCUAUUCCAUAAAGUAUAACAUAAUGUUUAAUUCAUAUAAGUAAAUUAUGAGAUUUUUAAAUAAUAGGUCAUCAGUUCCUAC